UUACGGUCACGUCACGUUUUAAACGCUGGCUUCAGUACGAUCACCGAAGUUAAGCAAUAUCAAGCCUGGUGCGUACCUAGAUGGGUGACCGUUUGGGAAUACCAGGUGUUGUAAG